GUGGGGAAUCUUGCGCAAUGGGCGAAAGCCUGACGCAGCAACGCCGCGUGGGGGAUGAAGGCUCUCGGGUCGUAAACCCCUUUCAGUGGGAACGAAACUGACGGUACCCACAGAAGAAGGACCGGCCAACUACGUGCCAGCAGCCGCGGUAACACGUAGGGUCCGAGCGUUGUCCGGAUUUAUUGGGCGUAAAGGGCCCGUAGGCGGCUUGAUAAGUCGGGUGUGAAAACUCCAGGCUCAACCUGGAGACGCCACCCGAUACUGUCAUGGCUUGAGUCUGGUAGGGGAGUGCGGAAUUCCUGGUGUAGCGGUGAAAUGCAUAGAUAUCAGGAGGAACACCGGUGGCGAAGGCGGCACUCUGGGCCAGUACUGACGCUGAUGGGCGAAAGCGUGGGGAGCAAACAGGAUUAGAUACCCUAGUAGUCC
rnacentral:rRNA from 1 species